AUGAGGCUUGAUUUACGGAAGACCCGCUAUUUAGAAACCCUGCAGAGCAUCAGUAAAAUCCGCGCUCCCACUGCAGAAAGGCUGCUGUCUCUGGGAGGGGAGCCCAAGACGACCAGUUCUAACGAGUUCAAGCUGAACCAGCCACCCGAGGAUGGCAUCUCCUCGGUGAAGUUUAGCCCCAACACCUCCCAGUUCCUGCUUGUCUCCUCCUGGGACACGUCCGUGCGCCUCUACGGUGUGCCGGCCAACUCCGUGCGGCUCAAGUACCAGCGCACCGGCGCCGUCCUGGACUGCGCCUUCUACCAUCCAAUGCAUGCCUGGAGUGGAGGACUAGAUCAUCAAUUGAAAAUGCAUGAUUUGAACAUUGAUCAAGAAAAUCUUGUUGGGACCCAUGAUGCCCCUAUCAGUUGUGUUGAAUACCGUCCAGAAGUGAAUGUGGUGGUCACUGGAAAUUGGGAUCAGACAGUUUAAUUGUGGGAUUCCAGAACUCCUUGUAAUGCCGGGACCUUCUCUCAGCCUGAAAAGGUAUAUACCCUCUCAGUGUCUGGAGACCGGCUGAUUGUGUAAACAGCAGGCCGCAGUGUUGGUGUGAGACUUACGGAACAUGGGUUACGUGCAGCAGCGCAGGGAGUCCAGCCUGAAAUACCAGACUCGUUGCAUACGAGCCUUUCCAAACAAGCAGGCUUAUGUAUUAAGUUCUAUUGAAGGCCGAGUGGCCGUUGAGUAUUUGGACCCAAGCCCUGAGGUACAGAAGAAGAAGUAUGCCUUCAAAUGUCACAGACUAAAAGAAAAUAAUAUUCAGCAGAUUUACCCAGUCAAUGCCAUUUCUUUUCACAAUAUCCACAAUACAUUUGCCACAAGUCGUUCUGAUGGCUUUGGAAGUAUUUGCGAUCCAUUUAACAAAAAGCGACUGUGCCAGUUCCAUCGGUACCCCACGAGCAUCGCAUCACUUGCCUUCAGUAAUGAUGGGACUAUGCUUGCAAUAACAUCAUCAUGUAUGUAUGAAAUGGAUGACACGGAACACCCUGAAGAUGGUAUCUUCAUUCGCCAAGUGACAGAUGCAGAAACAAAACUCAAGUCACCAUGUACUUGACAAGAUUUCAUUUGUUUAAGUGCCAUGUUGAUGAUAAUAAAACAAUUUGUGCUCCCCAAUGGUGGAUUUGUUAAUAUUAAAGAAACCAGGGAAAAUAUUAAUUUUAAUAUUAUAACAACCUGAAAAUAAUGGAAAAGAGGUUUUUGAAUUUUUUUUUUUUAAUAAACAGUUUCUUCAGUGCAUGAGAUGGUUUGAUGGUUUGCUGCAUUAAAGGUAUUUGGGCAAACAAAAUUGGAGGGCAGUGACUGCAGUUUUGAGAAUCAGUUUUGACCUUGAUGAUUUUUUGUUUCCACUGU